CCUACGGGGGGCAGCAGUGGGGAAUAUUGGACAAUGGGGGCAACCCUGAUCCAGCCAUGCCGCGUGUGUGAGGAAUGCCCUCGGGUUGUAAAGCACUUUCAGUGAGGAAGAACGCCUGGUGGUUAAUACCCAUCAGGAAAGACAUCACUCACAGAAGAAGCACCGGCUAACUCCGUGCCAGCAGCCGCGGUAAUACGGAGGGUGCGAGCGUUAAUCGGAAUUACUGGGCGUAAAGCGCGCGUAGGUGGCUUGAUAAGCCGGUUGUGAAAGCCCCGGGCUCAACCUGGGAACGGCAUCCGGAACUGUCAAGCUAGAGUGCAGGAGAGGAAGGUAGAAUUCCCGGUGUAGCGGUGAAAUGCGUAGAGAUCGGGAGGAAUACCAGUGGCGAAGGCGGCCUUCUGGCCUGACACUGACACUGAGGUGCGAAAGCGUGGGUAGCAAACAGGAGUAGAUACCCUAGUAGUC
rnacentral:rRNA from 1 species